rnacentral:sRNA from 1 species
GCUGGGUGUAGUGGUGCAUGCCUGUAAUCCCAGCAGCUCAGAAGGCUGAGACAGGAGGAUCGCAAGUUCAAGGCUAGCCUCAGCAAUUUAGUGAGACCCUGUCUCAA